AAAAAGCUCGUAGUCGGAUUUUGGCUGAGAACGGUCGGUCCGCCGUUAGGUGUGCACUGACUGGUCUCAGCUUCCUGGUGAGGAGGUGUGCUUCAUCGCCACUUAGUCACCGUGGUUACUUUGAAAAAAUUAGAGUGUUCAAAGCGGGCUUACGCUUGAAUAUAUUAGCAUGGAAUAACACCAUAGGACUCCUGUCCUAUUUCGUUGGUCUCGGGACGGGAGUAAUGAUUAAGAGGAACAGUUGGGGGCAUUCGUAUUUCAUUGUCAGAGGUGAAAUUCUUGGAUUUAUGAAAGACGAACUUCUGCGAAAGCAUUUGCCAAGGAUGUUUUCAUUAAUCAAGAACGAAAGUUGGAGGCUCGAAGACGAUCAGAUACCGUCCUAGUUCCAACCAUAAACGAUGCCGUCUGCGGAUCGGAGGUCGCUCAUGUAAGGCUCCUUCGGCACGCUAUGAGAAAUCAAAGACUUCGGGUUCCGGGGGGAGUAUGUUCGCAAGAAUGAAACUUAAAGGAAUUGACGGAAGGGCACCACCAGGAGUGGAACCUGCGGCUUAAUUUGACUCAACACGGGGGAAACUUACCA
rnacentral:rRNA from 1 species